rnacentral:rRNA from 1 species
UACGGAGGGGGCAAGCGUUAUUCGGAAGUAUUGGGCGUAAAGGGCGCGUAGGCGGCUAGAUGUGUCAAAGGUGAAAUCCCUCGGCUCAACUGAGGAACUGCCUUUGAAACUGUCUGGCUUGAGGCCGGGAGAGGGUAGCGGAAUUCCCAGUGUAGCGGUGAAAUGCGUAGAUAUUGGGAGGAACACCAGUGGCGAAGGCGGCUACCUGGACCGGUUCUGACGCUGAGGCGCGAAAGCGUGGGUAGCAAACAGG